UCAAGGAGAUGAAGUAAGUGUUGAGAUGACACAGAAGCAAUGACACUCAUUGGUUAGAUGGUCCAACUUGUUGAAGAAUGUUGCUUGUAUGUACGUCAUCUAUUGCCGUGUUUGACAGUGUUAUUGCAAGAGAAAUCCAUGCUAAAGUGUGUUCAUGUUUAAUAACGAUAACAGUAAAACCUUCUGUUGACUUAAUGGUAAAUUUGAAGUAACUGAUCAGUUCUGAGCAAAUUGAAUGCGUUUGGGUUAAAGCCUUGGUUUGUCACACCGAAGACCCGAGUUUGAGUCCCCACAUUGUUAAGCCCAUUUCUGAUGCCCCACGCUGUAAUAAUGCUGGAAUAUUGAUACAAAAGGCCAAAAAGGGAUUUCACUCACUCAUUCAUUGUCCGAUGACACCAAUAAUGGUUGAUGUGGGAUUAUAAACAUGAUCGGACCAUAAGAUCUUUCUCUUGCUGUGAUAUUGCUAGAAGCGGCAUAUACUUAAAACUCAUUCACUCACUCAUCUGAUAUCAGAGGAAGUGCAGUAGCCUAGUGGUUAAAGCAUUUGCUCGUAACAACAAAGGCAUGAGUUUGAUUCCUGACAAGGGUACAAUGUGUAAAGCCCAAUUUUGUUGUCCCUUGACAAUAAUAUUGCAGGAAUGUUACUAAAAACAGUGCUAAACCAUGCCCACUCAUGUUUGAUAUCAAAUAUUUCAACUCUGACUGAUAAUAUGCUUUAUGGACCUGUAUGGAUAUAUUUCAUAUCUAAAGACCAUAUGGGUAGUCUCAAUCCUAUUAUCAGGUAUCAACUGGACAUUGUAAUUAAAACAAAUUCUAUCUGCAUUAUUUAUCUACCAAAAACGUCAAUUGUUUUGUUGUGAAAUUGUUUGCAAUUGAAGGGGAGAUAACUCUAAAGUUGACUUGCAAUAUAUAUAUCAUUUAGUAUGUUAACUGCCAAAAUAAGUUUAUAAUUGCAUGAUGUUUCCUUGAACUAAAACAUGAAAAACUAUACCCUGUUGUUAGUUGGUAUUUGACUUGACUGUGAUUCAUGUAAAAUAUUCUGUGAAAGCUGUAAUUGUAAAGUUAAGACUGAUGGUCCAAAGUGCCUCAUUAGUUGCCAAGACCAUACAUAAAUUAUCUUGUUUGAAUGAAUAGUAUGCAUGCUUGCUAUAUUUUCAUAGGUAUCUGUGUUCAUAUACCUUGUGGAUACUGUUAAUUUAGACUAAACAUUUCUUGUAAAA